GUUACAUCAUUAUUAUAACAAAAAAAUGACUGGCUGGCUGAUGAACUCACAAGUGUUGGUAAUGUGCUGCAUGAGGGGCAGGUCUUUCGCUACCACCACAAGGGUCUCUGGCCCAGAAAGCGGAGUUCAAUAGUAAUUCUUGCUGCAAGU
rnacentral:snoRNA from 1 species